rnacentral:rRNA from 1 species
AAAUAGAUACCCCGGUAGUCCACGCCGUAAACGAUGAGUGCUAAGUGUUAGAGGGUUUCCGCCCUUUAGUGACUGCAGCUAACGCAUUAAGCACUCCGCCUGGGGAGUACGGCCGCAAGGCUGAAACUCAAAGGAAUUGACGGGGGCCCGCACAAGCGGUGGAGCAUGUGGUUUAAUUCGAAGCAACGCGAAGAACCUUACCAGGUCUUGACAUCCUCUGCCAACCCUAGAGAUAGGGCGUUCCCCUUCGGGGGACAGAGUGACAGGUGGUGCAUGGUUGUCGUCAGCUCGUGUCGUGAGAUGUUGGGUUAAGUCCCGCAACGAGCGCAACCCUUGAUCUUAGUUGCCAGCAUUCAGUUGGGCACUCUAAGGUGACUGCCGGUGACAAACCGGAGGAAGGUGGGGAUGACGUCAAAUCAUCAUGCCCCUUAUGACCUGGGCUACACACGUGCUACAAUGGAUGGUACAAAGAGCUGCGAACCCGGUGAGGGUAAGCGAAUCUCAUAAAGCCAUUCUCGAGUUCGGAUUGUAGG